GAUGUAUCAGGUAACAGAAAUAUCACUCCUGAGUCAUGGUAGUGUAUUUAUGCUUUUCCAAUUUCUCUUGUUUAAAUGAGACAUGGACAAGGUAGCAAAAGGGAAAUGGAUCUGAUGUGUAGAUAAAAAUAUUUAUAUAAGAUGUUACCUUUGGCACUAAAUUCACUGGCACCAAAAUUACUCAUAAUGCUGGAAUCCAUUUCUUUUCACCAUGAUUUUUUUUUUUGUUUCCAUUUAAUUGGGCGUGGAUUUCUUGUUUCUGUUUUUCAUUUCUUGCAGUCAGUAGCAGGUCAUUGAUUUUGUAUGGUGCAUUUUCUGGAAUUCCAGGAAGUACCCCAAGGACCCAAAUAUCUUCUCGGGUGUGAUGCUGCAGGCAGCUGCCUCUGCUUACAGCAGAUUGUGGUUUUCUUCCCUGCAAAUCUUCACUGAAACUGUCAUUCUUGCACAAGCCCUGGUAUGUUAGCAAAAGAAACAUCAACUCUGAAAGCACAAGUGUUUUCCCAUUUAAGAUGAGAUGAAGCAGUGAAUUAAGCAGAAUACAAAUUUUUGCUUGUUUUCUCAUAGAAACAGAGCACGUGAAUCUUACUGGCAGGGCACAUGCUGAUCUAUUCCCCCUUCCUUUUUCAUACCAUUCAUUAAUUUUUAUAUGACGGACCAAUUUUAACUAUUUUACACACACAAAAAAAGCACUCAGAAGUCUCUUGAAAGAGUACUGCCAUUGGCCUCAUUUUACAGAUAGAGUCAUAGAGUAGCUUGGGUUUAAAUGAACCUUAAAGCCCCUCCAGUUCCAACUCCCUGCCGUGGGCUGGUUGCCCCCGACCAGCUCAGGCUGCCCAGGACCCAUCCAACCUGACCUCGAGCACCUCCAGGGAUGGGGCACCCACAGCUCUCUGGGCAGCACAAGGGUGUCACUGCCCUCUGAAUAAAUAAUUCCUUCCUAAUAUCUAAUCUAAAUCUCCUCUCUUUCAGUUUAAAAGUUUCCUCUUGUCCUAUCACUACGGCACCCGACAAAGCAUGCCUCCCCAGUUUCCCUGUAUGCCCCUUUAAGUACUGGAAGGCCACAAUCAGGUCUCCCCGUAGCCUCCUUUUCUCCAAGCUGAACAAACCCAGCUCCCUAUCUGUUCCUCAUAGGAGAGGUGCUUCAGCCCUCAUCUUAGUGGCCCUCCUUUGGUCUUGAUCCAACAGCUUCGCAUCCUUCCUGUGCUGAGGGCUCCAGAACUGGACACAAUAAUGGGGACCCAAAAGGGCAGAAUAGAGGUGGACAAUCCCCUCCCUCUCCCUGCUACCACCCUCUGUUGAUGCACCCAGGAUGAUAUUGGUCUUCCAGGCUGCAAGCACACACUGCUGGCUCAUACCCAUCUUGACCAUCAGGACCCCUAAGUCCUUCUCCAUAGGGCUGCUCUCAAUCCAUAUCAAACAACAGAAGCACUGGGCCUUUCUGGCUCAUACUGUCUGUUUUUUUCUCCUCUCCUUCAUCCAUCUUCUCAUGGUCAUUCCCAAUCCAGAUGUGAGCACUGCUAUGUCCAUCCAAUAGGUGACAUCAAUUAACCUCCCCAACAGUAUUCCCUCAUCUAGCAGUUGGCAACCCUGUCCAUGGCAGGAUGUUGGAGCUCAAUGAUCUUUAAGGCACUUUCCUACUUAAGUCAUUCUAUGACUGUAUGAUUCUAUUGCUCAGUAUUUCAGUCCGGCUUCUGUCUGUGUCAAUGUACCAACCAGGGAAGCUUUUUAUAUACACUUUUAUUUCAUACUGUAUACUAGAGAGCAGCAUGUUGGAAGGUUGUUGUAACACUGAAUGUGAGGGAGCCCUGCAAAGAUUUUAGAUUAUUUCAAACUCUUAUGGGAAUACAUAAAGGAAUUUUAUAUAUUGCUGAGCUAAGCAGUAACUGGCAAAUAGUUUCCUGUUUGAGGGAAUGGAGAUAUAUGUACCUACUUUCUUUCAGUAUUACUCACUGAGCUACAUAGGGAAUAGCACAAGUUUUCCAUUCUGCCUCAGUUUUGAAAUUGCAAUUUUUGUUAAUCUCUUUUAAGCUAUGUUAAUUAACCCAACUUCACUGACUUUGAUCCACUACUCCACACUAUUUCCAAAUAAGAUAAAAUGUGAAUGCUUCUCAUUAUGUUUGUUUACGAAAUUGGUGAUACUGAUGUAUGAAUUUUGCAGUGAAUUUAUCUGCUGUAUUUUACCUGCUUCACAUCAGAAAUAUCUAAGAACAUUCCGGAAGAGCAAACUCCUUAAAUUUACUCUGGUGUCUCUGUGACUCCAGUGCCCUUGCAUCAUCAGCUUGCUCUGAUUCUUAAUUUAUUAAGAGCCAAAGCAAAUUAUAAAAGUAUACUGAUCGCCCAACUGCCCGUGAUAGCAAAUUUCCAUGGUGGUAGCUAAAGGAGCUUACAAUAUAACACAAGCAAUGACAGACAGUCCAGCAGAGGUGAGCUCUGAAGAAGUAGAAGAGGGUGGGCACAGUGAUGUUUGACCAAUCCAAGUAAAUCUGUGCAUAUAAAGAUCUCAAAGAACUCUGUUAUCCUCAAGGAAAUUAACCACUAUUUUUGAGUGCUGGGAAAUGAAAUUCCAAGCCAUGUAUGACUCUACAGCACAGUUUUCCAUCUGGUUACAGAGCCAUGCACUGAGAUAAAAGCAGCAAAGCUAAGUCGGUCUCCAUUCUUCAGUGUUCCUGAACCCCUGAAAGCUGUGCCCUGGCCUCCUGUCCAUGGCCCUCCUGUGCUAUAUGAUGUCAUUCUGACCAAGACAAGUGUUCUGCCAUCCUUCAACUGUUAGCUUGUGAGAUGAAAUAGCCAACUCCCUGUGUUUGUUGAGUCAGUUUCUUUACAGCCAGAGGUUGUUUUCUUACCUCACAGGCAGGAUGCCUGCUUCUCAUCUGGUCUCUACUCCAUUUGAUUUGUUUUACUCGUAGCCCUACCAUGAAUUAAAACUUCCCUGGGUUUAGUUCUGAAUCACUUGAAUGCACAAAUCUUUCUGGGAGUGGUUCACAGGGAAGGCCAACAGCAUAACUGAAAAUUAAUUAAAUGGGCGUAGGUGUCUUGCUGUGUGUGAGCAGGAAUGAGGGGAAGGUAAGCAUUUCUAAUGGAAUAGGUUCUUCUUCAUAUUGGAAUAGUUAGCAUAAUCAGAAUUGUGAUGGUUUGCUUGCCAUGCAGAUAGCAAGUGAAUGGUUCCGUAGAAACAUGGUAACAAUGAUCAGCUCUGUACAUCUGUCUAAGUUUUCUGUGCAUUGUAUUUAUUUCAUUGCUUUCUUUCUCAGACAACUUUUCCCCCAGUACAUCUGUACUGAAGACAUCUCAUUUGGCCAAUUUGGUCAACACAAACAUAUGAAUGACAGAUUUUUCUAUGUGAUUGAUUGAUUCUAAUAUUCAAAAGUCUUAUUAAAGGAAAUAUGUCACAUACACAUCUCUGAUUUUAAACAUGUCUUUGGCUGAAACACUCAUGAUACUUCAUGGAAAACCUAGAAGAUGAACUUAAAGUAGAUAAAUCCUAAGAAGAGGUAGUAUUGCUCUUCUUUUCACUCUUGUUGUCUACUUCUGGACAUUGACUAUAUUAGUAUUUAAGUAAGAGUAAAAGACAGGAAAUCAGGAAGAAAAUCAAAGACAUCCCAAAUCCACUCUUACAUUAACAGAAUACCCUGAAAGGAAAAUCAUGCCAAUAGCUGCAUCUGUGCUUUUUGCAAGAUGGUGAUUAAAAAAAAGACAAAAGAAAUCUCUUCAUUUUGAAGAUAACUUCACAAAGAAAGCAACCAGACAUGGAACCAUCUCCCACACUUCACUGCCAGCGGCGGUUGCAUGCGAUGUCCUUGGAUGCCCAAAAGAUUAGGCAGUAUGAUCCACCUGGCCCAAGUAACAGGGACCAAAGGCAUUUCUCCGUCUACAAAGUUAAGCUCCUGCUCUAUGAAAAUGAAGAAGAAAAACUGAAAGUUUUGCUCUGCACAAAUUAAUAGGGACCUCUGGCUCUUGAGGGGACAAAAUUGUGGAUGAGUCCUCUCAUAUGGCAAUGCAUUAAGAGCAACAAAAAAGUUCAACUUCAGCCAUCAGCCUGCACUACAGGACUGUUUUCAGCCGCCCAGGUUUGCUGCAUCGCUUGCACAUUGGCACUUCUCAACACCUAGGAAAGCUCAAUACUUCUGCUAUGAAGAAUGUGGACAUAAAUACCAACCUUUAUAUUUGUGUCCCUGAAUUGCUUCCACUUGAGGAAAAGGCUAUCUAUUAUUGAAUAAUGUCCUGAAACAUAAUUCAGAGGCAGAAGCAGCAGAAAAAAAAAUCCUGAAAUGGAGGAGAGACUUCUUGAACAUUACUCAUUGGAAUUGUGGCACUAUGUAGAAGCUGCUAUUGAUAUGACACGGCUGAUGUGAUGCAGUACCAAGUGGACAUUCUUCAACAAUUCAGCUCCAUCUACCUUAAAGUCAUUACUAUUCUCUUACUAGGCCACAUUUUCAGGGAAUCACUCAGGAGGUGCCUGAGCUUUCCCAGACCUAAAUUCAUUUCAGCUGCAUAAUUCUUCUGGAGUAAAAGCAAGAGACAGUGUAGUCCAUGAGUUGCUGUGAAGGUGUUAUAACAACACUCCUCACUUUUAAGGGACUCAUGGUGGUAUGUAGGAAUCUAAUUAAUUUCCUACCAUUUAUGAUUUUCCACAUUAUUGUGAACAUUGUUCUGUUUGUGUGUAGGUAUACAAAUUUGCUGUCUUGAAUGUACAGUGUUGCAAGCCACAAAGUCAUUUUAUCUACCAGCUGUUGUUUUAAACGAAGAAAUGUUUUAUAUCAUUUAUAUCAAAAGAUUAUGAGAAAUAUGUUUUCUUGACU